UAGGGUAUAGCUCUAGCGGUAGAGCGUGUGUUUAGCACGCAUCAGGUCCUGGGUCAAUCCCCAGUACCUAAU
rnacentral:tRNA from 1 species